AUCGCUUCUCGGCCUUUUGGCUAAGAUCAAGUGUAGUAUCUGUUCUUAUCAGUAUACUUACCUGGCAGGGGAGAUACCAUGAUCGCUACGGUCUGAAGAACUCCAAGCAUUGUGGUAGAGAUUUUUGCGUAGUACGAUUGCAGUACUUUUCGUUCUUAUUAGAACCGCAUUUCUCUAGAGCAUACCACCU